UAACGUAUAGCUUAUUGGUAAAGCGUAGACAUUUUUAAAGUUUAAAGUAGUAAGUUCGAUUCUUACUAUGCUAA